UCAGAGGGUCGGGCGAUCACUGAGUACCAGAGGAAAGUCCGGGCUCCAUCAAGACGGGAUGCCGGGUAACACCCGGCCGACGUGAGUCGAGGGACAGUGCCACAGAAAGUAAACCGCCUUUACAGGCAAGGAUGAAAGGGUGCGGUAAGAGCGCACCGACGUGAGGGCAACCAAGCGGGCUUGGUAAACCCCAUCCGGAGCAAGACCAAAUAGGGACAACACAUCGUGUGUCUUGACACUGUUGUCCGGGUCGGUCGCACUAGCGUGUCAGCAAUGCCGCGCCCAGAUGAAUGAUUGCCCCUGCUUUGCAGGACAGAACCCGGCUUACAGACCCUCUGGCCAU
rnacentral:RNase_P_RNA from 1 species